UCAAAUGUCUGAAAUAUAAAAACCAAAGUUACUUAAUGCACAACACUAAAUGUUCCCAAACGACUCCUAAAGAGGCUGCUGCUGCAUCCUCAGAAAUGAGCAUCAGGAUGAUGCGCCCCAUGCCCUCCGUAGGCCCAGGUGGCAGGACGAAAACGAGCUGGAAUGCUCCCAAAAAGCUUGUUCCCAAAACCCCAAUAGUGACUUGGCUGUGGUCGUGGCUGGAAUCGACGCCUUCCAGGUGGUUGAAGGAUUUACAUGGGAGGUUCUAAUAUUUCUCCCCAAAUGGCUAAAAAACAUUCCCAGUUUUAGUUUAUUUUUUUCACUCGAGCAUGUGUGAAUAAAAACAACAGAAGAAGUAACGAAGAAGAGGUUUUUAGAAUGAACAGCAAUAAAAAACAUCAAUUAGCAAGGCUUAUCAGACGUAAGAAGAUACUGUGUGUGACCUUGAUGUAGUAUUUAAAUACAGAAUAUGAUAUUAGGUGUUUUCGUGGAGCACGUCCUGAACGUGUUCAGAGGAAGAACGCUUGCGCAUUAGAAUUUUGGCUGUUCGCGGUGUUGAAAAAUCCUCCUAAGAAUAAAAAGUUCUCUGUUCGCGGAGCGCAACAACUUGUCCUGAACGUAUUCGGAAUGCGUUCAACAAGUUCUGGGAUUAAAGAGAGGAUUUAUUGUCCGCACAUGUGCAGAAGUUGAUUUGACGAAUUUAUUUAUUUUGUUAAGAGAUUCGAGAUUGUAUUUCUAACCUAACAAGUUUAAAAUUUUGAAUUGUUGUGUUAUCAUACAAAUGUUGUAAAAGAUGAUGAACCUCAGUUCAAGUGAUGAAGAUUUGGAAGAGAUUGUAGGACUUUUAAAUGUUCCAAAAAAUGCAAAUUUUUUUGAGGAAACUGUGCAACAAUUUAAUAACCAACAAUUUAUACAGAAUUUUAGAUUAAGUAGAGACUUAGCUGUAGAUUUGGCAAAUAAGUAUGAAAGAUCUCAUUUCCACAAUAUUAUGUAAAAUUACUUUUCCUGUUUUGGAGUGUUGUUUGUCCUAGCGUAGAUAAAGAUAAAAGAAUAAGGUUAGGCAAUUGGCAUAGGCAACCCAAAAAACAUCCGGAAAUUGUUCGUGCAGAAACAAAUUCAGAAUAUAUUCGGAGACACGCUUGCGCAUAUAUUUGUAUCCGGGUUAAGUUCAGAAUACAUUCAGGAUGUGCUCCACGAAAACACCUAUU
rnacentral:lncRNA from 1 species